GGUUACAGAUGUCGCUAUCAGGCUACCACCCCCUCCGCCUAUAAAGGAGAAACCCCAGAUACGUUAUUCCAUAAGCUCUCAUCUUUCAUCUAAAAACUCUGCUAAAUUCUCCGUUCGAGCACUCCAUUCUUGUUGAGGCAGAGAACUGACUUGAGCGUCGGAGGGUCUUGCCGGAGCAACCCCACCUCCGGUUUAGACUUCCUUUGCAGGUCCCG
rnacentral:lncRNA from 1 species